rnacentral:piRNA from 1 species
GUGUCUUGAAGGCAGAAGGAGGUCAGGA